CCCACCACCACACCUGGCUAAUUUUUUGUAUUUUUAGCAGAGAAGGGGUUUCACUGCAUUAGCCAGGAUGAUCUCGAUCUCCUGACCUCAAGUGAUCCGCCCGCCUCGGCCUCCCAAAGUGCUGGGAUUACAGGCGUGAGCCACCGCGCCCGGCCAAUUUCUAAGGCUCCAUUAGGGCUAAGGUUCAUGUAUCCAUGGUGAAGUAUAGAAGAACUCAGAAUCGUUCCAAACAUAAUGGGCUUGGAGUAAUGGAGAACUCCAAGGGCAGGAGGUAACCAUUAAAGAGGACCAUCAUGUAGUGUGAGGAGUCAACAUUUCACACUAGAAAGCCCUUGGUUCAAGUUUUGUCUCUGCCACCUACAGAUUUUGUAACCCUGAGGAAACUAGCUACCUCUUUAUGUACUGCCCUAUGGAGAGGCACACAUGUCAAGAAACUGAGGGAGUGCCUUCCAGUCAACAGCCAGCCAGGAACUAAGGUGCUCAGUACAGCAGCCUCCACAAAGGACUGAACAAUGCCAACAGCUAUUUGACUGUGCUUGGAAGAUCUCCGUUUAGUUAACCCUUCAGAUGAGACCGCAGCCCUGGCCAGCAAACAAAUUGCAGCCUAUGGAAAGACCUUAAGGCAGAAGCACCCAACUGAACCACCCGAGGGCUCUGACUUACAGAAACUGUGAGCAUAUAGUGAAAUGGCCUCUACCUUAUUUUGAAUGGAUUUCUGGGAUAAAGUUCUUCAGUGAUAACAUGUUUGAAGCGGCUAUCUUAUGUGCCCAUGUUACAUGCUCAUGAUAAAGCUGCAUUUCCUGAGGGGACACCAAUGGAUACACCUCUGCCUGGCACGCAGCUUAGAGGCUAAAUGUAUGAAAAGCAACACCAUGCAAAUCAUUUUGAAACUGCUGUGGAACUCUCACGGGACCCUCCAUUCUAGACAUCCAGUCCCACUAGUGAUCUGACCAUGAAACCUACUAAGAGACUUCCAGAAGAAGAUGACCUCUGAAAGGAGAAAACUUUCUUCCAAGCUUCUGUGGAACAAGAAGAUGCCAUCCCUUUGGUGGAGCCCAAAGGGAAACCAGGACACUGAAGGAAUUAACCAGAAAGAAAAGAAGAGAAGAAGGAGAAGAAAGAAGAAGAAGAAGAAGGAGAAGGAGAAGGAGACGAGGGAAGAGGGAGAAGAGAGAGAAGAGGGAGGAAAAGAAGAAGAAGAAGAAGAAGAAGAAGAGGAAGAAGGGGAGGAAGGAGAAAGGAGGAAGGAGGAGGAGGAGAAGAAGAAGAGGAGGAGGAAGAAGAAAAUUGAGAUCAUUUGUACAAAUCUUGAAACCAAAGCACAGCCUGUAUGAACCCAUGUUGAACCCUGGACUUUCAGGACUACUGUAUGGCUAACCACAGCCCUGCAAGGCCAGGCUCAGCAUGUCACAGUUUUGCCACUGAACAAGAAUCUUUCGAAGGAUCGCAAAUACUACAUGGAAAAUGACUGUAUUCUUUCUGCAAGGCCACUCUCUUAGACAUCACCCUAACAAAAACAAUUACGGGUUGGAAGAGGAGAAAGGAUGCAAAGUUUGUGCCUUGACCUAAAAAAGGUCAUGAGCACCUCUACCGGUUCUUGGAAACAUUAGUUGCAGUGGAUCUCAAAUUCUAUUGCGCAAAAGAACGACCUGGUGACCCUCUAAAAGUGUAGAUUCUCUGGUUUCACCCCUAGACCUUGUGACUCACAUGUCCAGUGAGGCCAGGAACUCCUCACUGUUAACCUGUGCCCUAUUUUAACAAGCCCUGCUGGGAGUCGGGAUGUUGGGGGUCCCCACACCACACUGAAAUAGAGGAAUUCCCUGCUCAAAGAUCCCGUUAUGUCCUGAUUACAAUCUGCAAUGAGAUUAUGAAAUCAUUAAAUCAUGAUUAA
rnacentral:lncRNA from 1 species